rnacentral:rRNA from 1 species
ACGAAAGUCUGACGCAGCGACGCCGCGUGCGGGAUGAAGGCCCUCGGGUUGUAAACCGCUUUCAGCAGGGACGAAAGUGACGGUACCUGCAGAAGAAGCCCCGGCCAACUACGUGCCAGCAGCCGCGGUAAUACGUAGGGGGCGAGCGUUGUCCGGAUUUAUUGGGCGUAAAGAGCUCGUAGGUGGUUUGGUAAGUCGGAUGUGAAAUCUCCAGGCUCAACCUGGAGGGGUCAUUCGAGACUGCUAUGACUAGAGUUCGGUAGAGGAGUGUGGAAUUCCUGGUGGAGCGGUGAAAUGCGCAGAUAUCAGGAGGAACACCCGUAGCGAAGGCGGCACUCUGGGCCGAUACUGACACUGAGGAGCGAAAGCGUGGGGAGCGAACAGGAUUAGAUACCCUGGUAGUCCACGCCGUAAACGUUGGGCACUAGGUGUGGGGUUCUAUCGACGGAUUCCGUGCCGUAGCUAACGCAUUAAGUGCCCCGCCUGGGGAGUACGGCCGCAAGGCUA